UACGAAGGGGGCUAGCGUUGCUCGGAAUCACUGGGCGUAAAGGGCUCGUAGGCGGCCAACUAAGUCGGAUGUGAAAUCCCCAGGCUUAACCUGGGAACUGCAUCCGAUACUGGAUGGCUUGAAUCCGGGAGAGGGAUGCAGAAUUCCAGGUGUAGCGGUGAAAUGCGUAGAUAUCUGGAGGAACACCGGUGGCGAAGGCGGCAUCCUGGACCGGCAUUGACGCUGAAUAGCGAAAGCCAGGGGAGCAAACGGG
rnacentral:rRNA from 1 species